rnacentral:rRNA from 1 species
UACGGAGGGGGCUAGCGUUGUUCGGAAUUACUGGGCGUAAAGCGCACGUAGGCGGCUUUGUAAGUUAGAGGUGAAAGCCUGGUGCUCAACACCAGAACUGCCUUUAAGACUGCAUCGCUUGAAUCAUGGAGAGGCGGGUGGAAUUCCGAGUGUAGCGGUGAAAUGCGCAGAUAUCGGGAAGAACACCCGUGGCGAAGGCGGCUCUCCGGGACGGUACUGACGCUGAGACGCGAAAGCGUGGGGAGCGAACAGG